rnacentral:lncRNA from 1 species
CUAAAGAGAUGAUGUCCUUUUGAAUAGAUGGUUUCGAGUUUGAUGGUCUACCAAAAUAUUGCUGCAAACCUUCUGUGUAGCUGUCAAUAAGGUCAUUGCAGCCCUGCAAACUUCUACCACAUCUUUGAAUUGAAGAUGAUGACAAAUUUCCACUUAAUGAGUUCAAUGAAUCUUUGGCCCUCUAGCGCCAAAUCAUCUGUUACAUUUUCCUCCCCCACCAUGAAUGUUCACUCCCUUGUUGUGACGCAGUUGGUGUGCUAGCUUUGGUGGAAGAAGUGCUAACAGCUGAGCUUG